rnacentral:rRNA from 1 species
GACGAACGCUGGCGGCGUGCCUAAUACAUGCAAGUUGAGCGAUGAAGAUUGGUGCUUGCACCAAUUUGAAGAGCAGCGAAAGGGUGAGUAACGCGUGGGGAAUCUGCCUUUGAGCGGGGGACAACAUUUGGAAACGAAUGCUAAUACCGCAUAACAACUUUAAACAUAAGUUUUAAGUUUGAAAGAUGCAAUUGCAUCACUCAAAGAUGAUCCCGCGUUGUAUUAGCUAGUUGGUGAGGUAAAGGCUCACCAAGGCGAUGAUACAUAGCCGACCUGAGAGGGUGAUCGGCCACAUUGGGACUGAGACACGGCCCAAACUCCUACGGGAGGCAGCAGUAGGGAAUCUUCGGCAAUGGACGAAAGUCUGACCGAGCAACGCCGCGUGAGUGAAGAAGGUUUUCGGAUCGUAAAACUCUGUUGGUAGAGAAGAACGUUGGUGAGAGUGGAAAGCUCAUCAAGUGACGGUAACUACCCAGAAAGGGACGGCUAACUACGUG